rnacentral:rRNA from 2 species
AAUAGGUAUGCUUAGGGAGGAGCUUGCGUCACAUUAGUUAGUUGGUGGGGUAAAGGCCUACCAAGACUAUGAUGUGUAGCCGGGCUGAGAGGUUGAACGGCCACAUUGGACGAGAGUUACAAACAAAACUCCUACCGGAGGCAGCAGUAGGUAAUUUUCGGCAAUGGAGGAAACUCUGACCGAGCAACGCCGCGUGAACGAUGAAGUAUUUCGGUACGUAAAGUUCUUUUAUUAGGGAAGAAUAAAUGAUGGAAAAAUCAUUCUGACGGUACCUAAUGAAUAAGCCCCGGCUAACUAUGUGCCAGCAGCCGCGGUAAUACAUAGGGGGCAAGCGUUAUCCGGAAUUAUUGGGCGUAAAGGGUGCGUAGGCUGUUAAAUAAGUUUAUGGUCUAAGUGCAAUGCUCAACAUUGUGAUGCUAUAAAAACUGUUUAGCUAGAGUAAGAUAGAGGCAAGUGGAAUUCCAUGUGUAGUGGUAAAAUGCGUAAAUAUAUGGAGGAACACCAGUAGCGAAGGCGGCUUGCUGGGUCUUUACUGACGCUGAGGCACGAAAGCGUGGGGAGCAAACAGGAUUAGAUACCCUGAUAGUCCACGCCGUAAACGAUGAGUACUAAACGUUGGGUAAAACCAGUGUUGAAGUUAACACAUUAAGUACUCCGCCGGAGUAGUACGUACGCAAGUAUUGAAACUUAAAGGAAUUGACGGGACUCCGCACAAGCGGUGGAAUAUGUUGUUUUAUUCGAAAGUACUCGAAAAACCUUCCCAGGUCUUGACAUGCUUCUGCAAAGCUGUAAAAACACAGUGAAGGUUAUCAUUGCACAGGUGGUGUAUGGUUGUCGUCAGCUCGUGGCGGGAGAUGUUGGGUUAUUCCCGCAACGAGCGCACCCUUAUGGUUAGUUGCAGCACGUUAUGGUGGGACUUUAUCAAGACUUGCAUUGAUAAAUUGGAGGAAGGUGGGGACGACGUCAAAUCAUCAUGCCCCUUAUGACCUGGGCUACAAACGUGAUACAAUGGCUGUUACAAAGGGUAGCUGAAACGCAAGUUUUUGGCGAAUCUCAAAAAAACAGUCUCAGUUCGGAUUGAAGUCUGCAACUCGACUUCAUGAAGUUGGAAUCGCUAGUAAUCGCG